GCUCCAGACUCCUACGGGAGGCAGCAGUGGGGAAUAUUGCACAAUGGGGGAAACCCUGAUGCAGCGACGCCGCGUGAGCGAUGAAGUAUUUCGGUAUGUAAAGCUCUAUCAGCAGGGAAGAAAAUGACGGUACCUGACUAAGAAGCCCCGGCUAACUACGUGCCAGCAGCCGCGGUAAUACGUAGGGGGCAAGCGUUAUCCGGAUUUACUGGGUGUAAAGGGAGCGUAGACGGCAUGGCAAGUCAGAUGUGAAAGCCCGGGGCUCAACCCCGGGACUGCAUUUGAAACUGUCAGGCUGGAGUGCAGGAGAGGUAAGUGGAAUUCCUAGUGUAGCGGUGAAAUGCGUAGAUAUCAGGAGGAACACCGGCGGCGAAGGCGGCCUGCUGGACCGCGACUGACGUUGAGGCUCGAAAGCGUGGGGAGCGAACAGGAUUAGAUACCCGAGUA
rnacentral:rRNA from 1 species